rnacentral:rRNA from 1 species
UACGGAGGGGGCUAGCGUUGUUCGGAAUUACUGGGCGUAAAGCGUGUGUAGGCGGCCCUGCAAGUCGGAUGUGAAAUCCCACGGCUCAACCGUGGAAGUGCAUUCGAAACUGCAGGGCUAGAGUCCUGGAGAGGAAGGUGGAAUGCUUGGUGUAGAGGUGAAAUUCGUAGAUAUCAAGCGGAACACCGGUGGCGAAGGCGGCCUUCUGGACAGUGACUGACGCUGAGACGCGAAAGCGUGGGGAGCAAACAGG